UACGUAGGGUGCAAGCGUUAAUCGGAAUUACUGGGCGUAAAGCGUGCGCAGGCGGUUUUGUAAGUUUGUCGUGAAAGCCCCGGGCUCAACCUGGGAAUUGCGAUGAAGACUGCAAGGCUUGAAUCUGGCAGAGGGGGGUAGAAUUCCACGUGUAGCAGUGAAAUGCGUAGAGAUGUGGAAGAACACCGAUGGCGAAGGCAGCCCCCUGGGUCAAGAUUGACGCUCAUGCACGAAAGCGUGGGGAGCAAACAGG
rnacentral:rRNA from 1 species